CUUAAAUUUAAAGCUCUUAACACCAGGUCAGUCGAAUUACACUAUUUCUGAGUGGAAUAUUUUUAUAAAAAUAUAAUCCAAUGAAACUAAUUUCAUGAUGGGAACUAACCUAGUGUUGAGACAAUAGAAGUUUAGUAUUUGAGGGUGUUAACGCCAAAGAGGUGUAACUCAUAUUUGUGAAAUGAUGGAAGUUUUGCUUUAUAACUUUGAUAAAUAGACAUUUUUUCAUCAGGAAAAGUGGUGUAAGUAUUUACAGUAAAAACUUACACACCACUUUUUCUCUGAAGAGGUCUAUGUAUAUAAUAUCAAGAUUAUAAAAUAGGGCUUACAUCAUUUCAAGAAUAUGACUUACACCACUUUGAUUUUAACCCAUUCAUUUCUUAAUCAGUAAUGAACUAAUGAAUUGUUUUCAGAAAGACAUACUUGCACAGAUGUAGGGGCACAAAUGUUGAGUUUGAUUGGCAUGGCAAUCAAAUCCAACCUUUACCCAACAGUUGUGACAGUGCAUCUGGUUUCUUCACAUCUGUUGCACAAGAUAGUCAAGUGGAAGUAGAUUACCUACAAUUGGAAGACACAUAGCAGACGUCCAAUGUACCCUCUACUUCCACUGUGCUGCUCAGUACACCCACGACAACUGCUGUCCUGCCCAAGAAGACAGCCAAGAUGUCUCAGGCUCGUUCAAAAAAUAAAAAAUUAAAAGAUGUAGGGAGCGAAACCCUUAAUGUAUCUUUUACAAAAAAAAAUUGAAACAGCAAGACUAGAGAAAAGAAGUAAGAUAGUAUUUUUCAACAAGAAAAAAAGAAAUUUUAGAAGUAGAGCUUCAAAUAAAAAAAUUCGAACUCAAUAAAUUAUUAGGUAAUAGUGGUUAGGUAUGUACCUAAUAAAGUAAUUUUAAAUAAAAAUUGUAAUUUCUUUAAAUAAUAAAAUUAAUAAAAAAUGUA